UAUCCAAAGACCUAGCAGUGAUGUAAAAAAAAAAAAAAAAAAAAAAAAAAAAAAAAAAAAAAACUCAAGUACAUCCGACAACAAGACAUCACAAAACGGUACAGAGUGCAGUCACUAAUCAGUAAUUAACAUAUGACGCUUUCAUACUCGAAUAACACAAAGAGCUGCUAACCAAAACCGGAUUUUAUUUUAAUAUUUUAGGCGGACCUUAUUGAUUAAGAUCUGCAGACAUCGCCUUACGCUUCAAUUCCAACAGCAUUUGAUCGUUUUCCAUCUUCAUCCUCUCGUUAUCGAUUCUCAUCAUCUCCAAUUCCGUAUCUUUUUUACGGCGAAACCUUUGCCAUUUAAACCGUUCCUUCUCUAACUCCAACAUUUGUGCUUGAAGAUGUACCUUCUGUUCUUCUAGUUGUAAUAAACGGUUGUUCAGCCAUUGAUCCUGCAAAAGAUUCGAUUUCACACCUUCUUGAUCCAUGUCCAUCUGCACGUUUUUCACCAGAGAAUCUUCAUUUUGUUUUACCCUCUUUGAAGAUCCUUCACCAACUCCACAUGCUGUUCUUUGACCCAAAUUGACACCAUGAUGAUAAUGACGGUGGUAUUCAUCGUAUUCAUCAUGAUCAAGAUCCACAUAUGGAUCUUGAUCGUCAUCAUCGUCCGGAUCCUCGUGUCGUCCAUCGUUUAUCUCAUGAUCAUUUCGAGCUCUAAGAGCUAAUCUUAACGAAUGCUGUAGUUCAGGAUCCGGAGGAAGGUGUAAACGAUUCCCGUUAUGAUACGAACACAUUUCUUCAUAAUGCAAAUGUUUAGAGCUUAAAAUCUUCCUAACUUCUUCUUUCAGUUUCUCCGGAACAUGAUCCAUCAAAUCAAGAAGCGACGGGUUUUCCACAACCUCACAAGACGUACCCCUUCCGAGAAUUUCAUUAAGCCGUUUAUACCGUUUCAUCUUCACCUAUGUAAGAAACCGCAGUGAUCAAAAGCCUCACCAUCUGGUCGUUCCAUUUCACUCGUUGCCACGGUGAGGCGAAGUGCAUGUUAACAUUCUUCGCUCCGUCUUCUUCCGUAAAGCUCGGGUCGUCCUCACCACUCAUCGCUCUCGUUUCGCCUUUACCAAACUCGGCAGCUAACGAAACGGUUCGAUUAGAAUCUUGAAUCGUUCCGGAUCCUAUUCGAAAGGGGAAAUUCUCAUGAACACAAGGAAGCAUCAUGGAUCCUUGUUGAUGAUGAACUCUUUGCAAAUCAAAACUCCCUCCCGAAACCCCCGAUGAUGACAGAUUACCCUCCAUAUCUAACAAAACCCUAACUUCAAAUUCACGGAGAAUUCAACUACAGUAAUACCAAAUCGAAGCCCUAACCCUAAUCAAUUCGUUUGGGAAAUGCAUAAUUCGCGAGUAAUUUUCGUAAUCGAAGAUAUAUAUAGGAAUCGAUAAAAAAAAACCGCACAGCAAACUUACAGUGAGUUGAAUGCAGCCAUCAGCUUCAAUGAAUUGGGGAUGAUUAGAGCUCCGAGAAAGAAGGCAAAAGUUAAAAAGGAGUGUGU
rnacentral:lncRNA from 1 species